rnacentral:rRNA from 1 species
UACGUAGGGGGCAAGCGUUGUCCGGAUUUAUUGGGCGUAAAGAGCGUGUAGGCGGCCAGGUAGGUCCGCUGUGAAAACUCGAGGCUCAACCUCGAGAUGUCGGCGGAAACCAUCUGGCUAGAGUCCGGAAGAGGAAAGUGGAAUUCCCGGUGUAGCGGUGAAAUGCGCAGAUAUCGGGAAGAACACCCGUGGCGAAGGCGGCUUUCUGGGACGGUACUGACGCUGAGACGCGAAAGCGUGGGGAGCGAACAGG